CCGCUGAAUUUAAGCAUAUCAAUAAGCGGAGGAAAAGAAACCAACAGGGAUUGCCCCAGUAACGGCGAGUGAAGCGGCAACAGCUCAAAUUUGAAAUCUGGCCCCAGGCCCGAGUUGUAAUUUGCAGAGGAUGCUUUUGGCGCGGUGCCUUCCGAGUUCCCUGGAACGGGACGCCAUAGAGGGUGAGAGCCCCGUACGGUUGGACACCAAGCCUUUGUAAAGCUCCUUCGACGAGUCGAGUAGUUUGGGAAUGCUGCUCUAAAUGGGAGGUACAUUUCUUCUAAAGCUAAAUAUUGGCCAGAGACCGAUAGCGCACAAGUAGAGUGAUCGAAAGAUGAAAAGCACUUUGAAAAGAGGGUUAAACAGCACGUGAAAUUGUUAAAAGGGAAGCGCUUGUGACCAGACUUGCGUCCGGUGAAUCACCCAGCUCUCGCGGCUGGGGCACUUCGCCGGCACAGGCCAGCAUCAGCUUGCCGUCGGGGACAAAAGCUUCAGGAACGUGGCUCCUCUCGGGGAGUGUUAUAGCCUGUUGCAUAAUACCCUUCGGCGGGCUGAGGUACGCGCUCCGCAAGGAUGCUGGCGUAAUGGUCAUCAGCGACCCGUCUUGAAACACG
rnacentral:rRNA from 1 species